rnacentral:rRNA from 1 species
GAUGAACGCUGGCGGCGUGCCUAAUACAUGCAAGUCGAGCGAAUGGAUUAAGAGCUUGCUCUUAUGAAGUUAGCGGCGGACGGGUGAGUAACACGUGGGUAACCUGCCCAUAAGACUGGGAUAACUCCGGGAAACCGGGGCUAAUACCGGAUAACAUUUUGAACCGCAUGGUUCGAAAUUGAAAGGCGGCUUCGGCUGUCACUUAUGGAUGGACCUGCGUCGCAUUAGCUAGUUGGGGAGGUAACGGCUCACAAAGGCAACGAUGCGUAGCCGACCUGAGAGGGUGAUCGGCCACACUGGGACUGAGACACGGCCCAGACUCCUACGGGAGGCAGCAGUAGGGAAUCUUCCGCAAUGGACGAAAGUCUGACGGAGCAACGCCGCGUGAGUGAUGAAGGCUUUCGGGUCGUAAAACUCUGUUGUUAGGGAAGAACAAGUGCUAGUUGAAUAAGCUGGCACCUUGACGGUACCUAACCAGAAAGCCACGGCUAACUACGUGCCAGCCGCCGCUGUAA